rnacentral:rRNA from 1 species
GUCCUAGCCGUAAACGUUGGGUGCUAGGUGUUGGGGGACAUUGACCCCCUCCGUGCCGAAGCUAACGCAUUAAGCACCCCGCCUGGGGAGUACGGCCGCAAGGCUAAAACUCAAAGGAAUUGACGGGGCCCCGCACAAGCGGCGGAGCAUGUUGCUUAAUUCGAUGCGACGCGAAGAACCUUACCUGGGCUUGACAUGCAGGGUGAAACCCGUGAAAGCGGGCGCUCUUCGGAGCCUGCACAGGUGGUGCAUGGCUGUCGU